UACGUAGGGGGCAAGCGUUGUCCGGAAUCAUUGGGCGUAAAGAGCGUGUAGGCGGCCCGAUAAGUCCGCUGUGAAAGUCCAGGGCUCAACCCUGGGAUGCCGGUGGAUACUGUCGGGCUCGAGUCCGGAAGAGGAGUGUGGAAUUCCUGGUGUAGCGGUGAAGUGCGCAGAUAUCAGGAGGAACACCAGCGGCGAAGGCGGCGCUCUGGGCCGGAACUGACGCUGAGGAGCGAAAGCGUGGGUAGCAAACAGG
rnacentral:rRNA from 1 species